GUGGAGCUUGGUGACGAGAGCGGUGGGGGGAGCGCUUGGCCAGCCCCGCAGGGCGAGCAGUCCGGCCCCCUGUUCACCCCGAGCUUAAGCCUUGCAGCAGGAGAACUUCCACCUCGCUCUCCUGGCUUUGAGCCUCACUGUACAUCGGACCAAAGGCGCAGAAGGGAGGGAGGAUGCGAGAUGACCGGCUCUUUGGCAACCUGACCAUCUCCUUAGCAGAGAGCUUUCGAAAGCCAGCCGGAGGCUGACUGCAGGACCAAGGAGGUGCCGCGCCUCUCGUGGAUGUGUGUGUGUGUGUGUGAGCGGGUGAGCGGGUGUGAGGGUGUGUGUGUGCAUCACAACUGUGUGUGUGCAUGUCCGGAUGAGUGUGUGAGUCCACGCAUAAGUGUGUUUGUGUGUGUGAGUGGGGUGAGUGAGUGCUCUCGGUUAUAUUAUUUUUUUGGAAGAAAAAUCUUGAAAAUAUCAGGCAGGUUACCGUGCUCCUAGGGUGUUGGUUCUUCUUCUGGUCAAGAGGACCUGGCCAGACCAAGCUACUACAGACAUUUUUCAGCGAGUAAAGAGAAUUUUCCUCUGAGAACAAGAGGGAUUUUUUUCCCCUGGCUCUGCGGCCGAGUGAAAGAGAUUUGUUCCUACACCUGUGAAAACGACCAGAGCCGUGUGAUUACCAGGGCUGGAGCGAGGACUCGGGAAGAAAAGGAGCAAUAAAUCCAACAGCCUGUCAGUGCCUUUGGCCACAUUGGAAGAUGUCAUCUCAAACUAAGUUCAAGAAAGACAAAGAGAUCAUUGCCGAAUAUGAAGCCCAAAUAAAAGAACUUUUGGUUGCAACAACAAAAACCAGAUGAAGCUGGUGGUAGUGAAAAUGGAGUUUAUUAUAAAGAUGCAGGGUGUUAUCCGGAACCCAGGACCUCAUAGCUGACGAUUAGCUACUCAUCUGGGGAGUCGGUGAUCGAUGCAGGUGUCACCCAUUUUAGGGACUUCUGCAUUGGAACAGAAGCCACAAGUGCCU